rnacentral:rRNA from 1 species
GCGUAAGGGCUCGCAGGCGGUUUCUUAAGUCUGAUGUGAAAGCCCCCGGCUCAACCGGGGAGGGUCAUUGGAAACUGGGGAACUUGAGUGCAGAAGAGGAGAGUGGAAUUCCACGUGUAGCGGUGAAAUGCGUAGAGAUGUGGAGGAACACCAGUGGCGAAGGCGACUCUCUGGUCUGUAACUGACGCUGAGGAGCGAAAGCGUGGGGAGCGAACAGGAUUAGAUACCCUGGUAGUCCACGCCGUAAACGAUGAGUGCUAAGUGUUAGGGGGUUUCCGCCCCUUAGUGCUGCAGCUAACGCAUUAAGCACUCCGCCUGGGGAGUACGGUCGCAAGACUGAAACUCAAAGGAAUUGACGGGGGCCCGCACAAGCGGUGGAGCAUGUGGUUUAAUUCGAAGCAACGCGAAGAACCUUACCAGGUCUUGACAUCCUCUGACAAUCCUAGAGAUAGGACGUCCCCUUCGGGGGCAGAGUGACAGGUGGUGCAUGGUUGUCGUCAGCUCGUGUCGUGAGAUGUUGGGUUAAGUCCCGCAACGAGCGCAACCCUUGAUCUUAGUUGCCAGCAUUCAGUUGGGCACUCUAAGGUGACUGCCGGUGACAAACCGGAGGAAGGUGGGGAUGACGU